CCCCGAUUUUUGCAACGCUAUUCUUUCAAUUGUUUCAUCAACGAUCUUUACCGUAUAUGACAAUUUGGCCUCAAGUGUGCUCUCCAGUCUUGUUUUAUGGCUGAAGAGUUGCUUCUACUGAGCAGCUCCCAGUGAAACUGGGUCAGGAAUACCGAGUCAAACUGGGCAAGAGCUUCACCUUCCCCAGGGAGAACGCCUAUCACACCAUCAAACCCCGAAUUUUACCGAGUCAUUUAGUGACUGACAUUGGUGGCCACUGUAUCAGAUGACUUGAAGCCUCUGUCAGUGGAUCCCACAAAGCCUGGUAAACUGCGAGUGGCUGAUGAUGAAGUGAACGUACAACUACCAGUAGUACAGGCUGAGUGGACUGAUGAUGUGGCCCAGUUCAGAGGACCCAAGAAGCCUGUCACUAAAGAGUGUGUGCUCAUCAUAGACACUGUGUCUGGGGAGGCAGUACUGGAGAGGAUCAGUAACAACAUCCAACUCAAGGCCAUCAGGUUAUUAGUAGGACACUCAGGCAGAGUCAAGUGUAUUAUGUGUGUACACUAACCACUAGGACACCCUCUAUAAUUAUUACAGCCCAGGUUAAUGGAGUUGCUUGCUUAUAAUUAUAGACAAAAUCCAGCAACAGUCACUAAGGGCACCAAAGUGUAAUAGCUUCCCAAUGGUUUGGGGACUGCCAUAACUUGAUUUCAACACUUUUCUGAUUUUCUGAAAGCUUUGAAAGAGACCUUUAAUAUUUAAAGUAUUUUUCAAUUCUUAGCCAAGUUCAUUUCUGCUGCUAUACUCCUCACACACACACACACACACACACACACACACACACACACACACCACAUCUAUUUACUUUGACCAAGGGCGUAUAUGCUGACUAAUGCCUGUUCCCCACUCCCACUAGGCCUUGCCCAAGUUAUGCUAGCAGACUAAUGGUAAUAAUUAAAGACUAAUAGGUAUACAAUCAGGAGUGCACUCCUGGUACAAUCAAGAGUUCAUUAGGAAGAGUAUAGCUACUCCAAUAGACUGCACAAAAAGCAUUCCUCAUUCCUAGGUCACAGAUACUCACUAUUGUAAUCACAACAAGCAGGAAAGCAUGUGAUUGUGGAGAGGGUACUACGUGGAGUUGUGUACUCCUCCUAAUGAGAACUCUUGGUACAAUGUACAUGAGACUUGGAGACUAGGAACAAUUGGACAGACGCAAGUGAUUAUGAAUGCGUACGCUGACCUUGUGUUCCAGUUUGGAAUGGCUGACGAGAACCAAGCCGCUUACAUUUAUUCAAGGACCAACACGGCUGUGCAGUACAUCAAAGCUGAAUGGUUUUACGAUGGCUUCAAGAUUUUGAUGCUCUGCUCAACGGAGAUCUGAUACCGUAUUCUACGUACUUGUACAACAUCACUGGAUCCACCAACUACUACAACAUUCUCAGGACCUCGCUAGCCUCCCCUGAUUUUAACUACUACGUUCCCUUCAUCAACACCACUGACAUCAGACGAGCCAUUCACGUCGGCAGUCUCAGCUAUGGCUCUCAGUCUGAAGACGUGGAAAUGGCCCUUAGAAAGCUGAGGUGGACAUAUUAAAGAUAGGAGAUAAUGUUGCCGGGUAUGUGAGGACAGUGAACAAGUUUAUGCAGGUGGUCGUGAGAGGGGGUGGGCACAUUCUCCCGUUUGACCAGCCGGAGAGAGCACUCAACCUCAUCCAGAACUUUGUGAACAUGCAAUAGCCUAUUAUAAUUAUGUUGUCUUGAAAUGAUCAUGCUUCAAGAUAAAAAUGAAAUCUAUAAUUAUAGUCGUGUCAUUUAAUAUGUUGUUU